rnacentral:lncRNA from 1 species
UCAGUGGGCCUCUGAACAAGAGGGGCGUGCAGAGCGGCUUUUUGGCCUCAGUUAACUCUUAAAUGGGUGUCAGAGGCACUGUCUUCCCCUAGCUAUGCGCCUCGUGCCUGGGAGCCUUAGGGCCACACGGAAGGGUAGAAAUCAGUUUCAGGUCAGGAGAGAUUCCUGCUCCCAGCCCAGGCCCAGACGGCAACAGAAGCUCAUGGUGAGUUCACCCCGGUCCUGGUCUGGCACCUCAUUGCUGGGGAGGUCUCGGCAGUCCAGAGGAGGUAGCCCCCACCCUGGGCAUCCAUCCGCCCAGGCCCCAGCCUCCGCGGGAAGACCCAAUUACAGAAGAGAGAAGUAUGUGGAGACCCUUGGCUGAGGUUGGGGGUCCUGGAAGCUGGAGGUAGUGUUCCUGGGUAUAGCAUGAUGGGUUGAUGGGUGGGUUUUAUUCUCUUUUUAAGGAUUUUUUAUAUUUUUCAAAUUUCCCUUUUGAAAUGUAUUCAUUUUGCAAUCAGAAAACAAAACAGGCCAGGCGUGGUGGUUCACACCUGUAAUCCCAGCACUUUGGGAGGCUGAGGCGGGUGGAUCACCUGAGGCCAGGAGUCCAAGACCAGCCUGGCCAACUUGGUGAAACCCCGUCUCUACUAAGAAUACAAAAAUUAGCCAGGCGUGGUGGUGGGCACCUGUAGCCCCAGCUACUUGGGAGGCUGAGGCACGAGAAUCGCUCGAACCCAGGAGGCGGAGCUUGCAGUGAGCUGAGAUCGCGCCACUGCACUCCAGCCUGGGCAACAGAGAGAGACUCUGUCUCAAAAAAAAGAAAACAAAACAAACCAGUGAACACUACUCCAAACAAAUGUCCAGGCCCAGAGAUCAGAGGCUGCAAGGUGGGCUCUGUCCCCAUGUCCCCAGCCACACUGCUGGGGAACCCACAGGGUGCCAGGUCCCCUCAGCCCUGUCCCUGCCCCACAGGCCCCUGGAGUGAUUGUAGGCUCUAGACUGCCUCAGUUUGCCCCCAGCCUCCCCUAGGUGCCCGGGGAGCCACUGGCCAGCCUCCGGUCGCACUCCACUCAGGGCUUGACGGGGAAACAGAAACCAGCCUUGAACGCCUUCCCACGCCCCAAAACGCCAGGGUGCACAGUGAGGGGAGCCCUGGUCAGAUGGCACAGAUGGCAUUCCUGCCCGCGAGAGGCCCAGGACCCCGGGGAGCCAGAGGGGCAGGGUGCCCGCAGCGUCCAGGCAAAUGGGCCCA